UACGGAGGGUGCAAACGUUGCUCGGAAUCAUUGGGCGUAAAGCGCACGUAGGCGGCUCGUUAAGUCGGGUGUGAAAGCCCUGGGCUCAACCCAGGAAGUGCACUCGAAACUGGCAAGCUUGAAUAUGGCAGAGGGUCGCGGAAUUCCCGGUGUAGAGGUGAAAUUCGUAGAUAUCGGGAGGAACACCAGUGGCGAAGGCGGCGACCUGGGCCAAUAUUGACGCUGAGGUGCGAAAGCGUGGGGAGCAAACAGG
rnacentral:rRNA from 1 species